rnacentral:tRNA from 1 species
UUAAUUAAAACCAAAGUAGAGGUAAAUUAUUGUUAAUAAUUAAAUUGAAUUUUAUUCUAAUUAAA